rnacentral:lncRNA from 1 species
GGCGAAACCUUCGAGAGCCCUCACUAUUGUUCGACUCUCCGUCAAGCCGAACACUCCGCCGCUGAAGUGGCGCUCCAGUCCCUCUCUAAUCGUGGACCUUCUCACUCCCUCGCCGCUCGAAUCCUAGUAAGUUCUUUCUCAAACCUUCUGCUAAUGGCGCCCCUUGUUCUUUAUUUGUCUUUCUAUGAAAUUGAGCCGUGGGGUGUGAUCGGUGUUAGCCUGCUCCGCCUUCGUGAUCGCCGGAGGUUCAGUUCAGCUAGUCGUGGGGAAUUACUAGAAUGCCCUUCAAUAGUUAAUGAAUUAGCAGAAGGCAGUGGGGUUUUCUUGGCUUUUUUUCGGAUGAUGGAAGCGAAAAUUUAAUUAAUUUUUAAGGGAAAUAAAAAUGGGAUUAAAUCUUAUGAUUUUUCUUCAUUUCUCUCUCUCUCUCAUAUUCUGGGAAACUGCUGUAUUUUGAUGAUAAGGGUUUUGUAGGUGUAAUUAAUGUUUAAUCAUGGGUAUUUUGGUCAUAAAAAUGUUUCGUUUCAGGCCAUCUCAAUUGACUGCCCGAGGAUAAAACGGUAGAGAAGGCAAAAUUUAAUUUGGUAUCUCAAUCUCUUGCAGACUUUAAUUAGUUCAAGUAGGUGGCGCAACAGAAAAAAAAAACCCAGAAAAUGAAAAAGAAAUGUGAUAUGCAAAUGUCAUUGUAUGUUAAAAGAAUGUGGUUUUUCGGGUCAGGUUUUAUGGGAAGAGCGGGUUCGGUUUCGGGUUGGCAAUGCUUCCUAGAGAAACAGUUAGUUUUGCUUUAGCAAAUGAUCAAAGUUAUUAUUUUUAAUUUUGUAUGACUUGUUUUGUUGAGACUCGAGUGUUGCUGUAUUAUUAAUAUGAAUUGCCUUUUUCGGCAUAGUGAAAAGCAUGUAAAUACGAGCAAAAUGGGGUGCUUGGACUUAGGUUGGGGGAUCGUGUAGAACUACAAGGGUGAGAGGCAUUGUAGUUAAUUGUUUCAUAUGAUAUUCAUGAUAGUGGUUGAUAUGUUUCUCGUUGUGUUGCUUGUUUGUUUCUUGGUUAGUUCACAAUUGUUAAGACUCUUCAAUUUUCAUGUCCUGGUAGAAGUAGUUUGUAAACUUAUGAUUGUGUUCAUCGUGGUCAUCAGUGUUGUCUAAUCUAUGGGCCAACUUGUGAAUGUUAUUAUGUGAAAUGAAGCUACGCACCUUCAGUGAAUUGGCAAUUUCUUGAUGAUUUUUGUUGUGUUUAUAACUCAAUUUUCUCGAAUAUGCCUGUCUAGAUAUCUCGAGUUUUAUUGGGAUUGAUACUGAUCUGGCCUUGUUAUGUUAGGAUGAGACAGGAGUUUAUAAGAACCUCUUACAGGAAAUUGCACAAAGAGUUGGGGCUCCGUUGCCUCAGUAUACAACAUUUAGAUCAGGUCUCGGGCACCUGCCUAUUUUUACGGGAACGGUUGAAUUGGCCGGAAUCAGAUUCACCGGGGAACCAGCCAAGAGCAAGAAACAAGCAGAAAAGAAUGCAGCCAUGGCAGCUUGGAUGUCUCUAAAACUAUGUGAGUCUGUGUCUCAUUUUUCCUAGGGAUAAAUGUUUGUUCGAAACUGAAUACCGUGUUUUAUUUCCAGUGGCAAAAGAAACUGCAAGUUCUUCUUCGGAGCCAGAGAACAAUGAUGAGCUUGAACAGAUCACGAUAGCUCGGGCUUUGUUGAAUUACAGAAUAAAGGAAAAGAUGGCUAUGGCAAACUCCUCCAAUGCUCCAAUACUAUUUACAAAGAAGUUUCCUAGUCAGAAUCCUAGACCAACAAGUCCACAGCCUCCUGCUACCACCUCGAAAAUCCUUCCUUUAAUCUGCCCGAAGGUGGUUCCUCGAAACAGAUCUAUGUCAGCAACAGCAAAUGAGAAGCCCGUACUGACAUCAUCGCAAACACCUACUCCUGAAAGCCGUGGUGUUCGUCCACAGAAAUUCCCUGCAGCUGGAGCAGCGCCUUAUGUUCCCAUCAGACAAUUAAGGACACCUUGCUGUGGCAUUGCUCCACCAGUGACAAUAAGAACUGCAGUGCCUGUUUUCUCUGCACCUCCGCGUCCAGCACCAUCUGCAGUAUCUCCUCAGCCACCGACAUCAGCGGUUCCUACUCAUCCCGCUCAACCAGCACAAUCUGUUCUUCCUCCUCAUCAACUGCCAGCGACACUCCCCUCUCAAGUGCUGCGAGCUCCUCCAGUACGAAUUGCCCAAGCAGUCACCAUUAGGCAAGUGGUUCCUGUAUUUGCUGCUCCACCGGUACGGAAAGAAGAUAAACAAUCCGUUCCUCUCAGAAAUGAAGAUAUCACAACCGCUACUGCUGCUCCCCCGCCUAACCAAUCACCUACUCAAGCAGAGGAAGCAGCAAGCACAAUAUUGAAGAACCUGCAAGAAUCUGAGACGAUACAGAGUUUAGAACAACUCAAAAUCUGAUGGCAAGGAAGGAUCGAAUUCCGAAUGGAAGCAAUGGAGUAAGAGCUAUGGUUUUGUGUUGGUAUCAAAGUUUGUUUUUGUUACUUUUUGUCAACUCAUAUGUGAGUGUUCUUUUUCAUUUUGUUUUCUUAGAAAGCUAAAGCUACAGUUUCUGCAGAUUAAGUUAGUCCCAUAUAAUUGCAGUUAAAGUUAGACUAUGUCUAGAGGCAAAUUCUUAUUUAGUUUAUUUAUAAUUACCCCCCCCUCCCCGGAUCUAAUCCAAUGCUUCUGCUCGUAUUCAAUUUUAAAUGGUCAAAUUGUGGUUUUGGUCCUUGAGAUUUUUUUCUUAAAAAAUAUAUUUUCCAACACAAAAUCUUUGCCAGCAUGGUGAGGGGUCAAAAUUAUAAUAUCACCUCAAUAUUUUAACCAUGAUAUAGAAAAUUAUAAAUGAAUGGAUUUAUGCUUCCGUCUUUUUCAACCAGUCUUUUACUCUUCGGAAAAGCAAGUGUCGUGUCGAAGCUACCCCGAUUGGAUAGUAAUGGGAGUAGUGAAUGAUGGUUGAGUCCCCACUAAAUCCAUUUCCCAACAUUAUGAGAAUCUGCUAAUUUUGGGCAAAGCUCAUUUGUGAUAUGGAAAGAUAAAUUGUUAAAGCAAGCAACUACAUGGACGCUCAAAUCUUUAAUUAAUCUAAGUAGUGGAAAGGAAAAGAUAUACAUUAACAUAGCUGGGGCGUUGGAAAGAUAUAGAUAUAUUUGGAAAAUCAGUGAAUGAUGUUUUCCAUUCAUACACAACAAAAGACCAUCUUUCUCUUUUGAUUCACAUUGCUCUGUUUUACUGCCGACCCUUGAGUCUUUCUUGAUUUUAAACUCUCUUACAUCACCCUCUCCCCUCAACACUACUCUCUGUUUCCUUCACUUUGUGGGAUGGUUCUGGCUUAGAUUGUUGAAGUACAUCAGAAGGUAAAAACUGGAUUGGUGAACUAUUUGUGAUUUUCCACUAGUAUAUAUCAUAUUUGGUUAACUUUUGAACGUAAGUUGAGUACUUGGCAAUGGUUGUGCCUCAACUGUUAGCAUAUAUGCAUGUCGCAUAGGACCUCACGACUUGUCCCGGUCUUUGAAAAUCUGGAUACUUUUAUAAAACUUCAAAUUGCCUUAUAUGUCUAAUUCAUCUGUUGGCAGGUUAUAGCAGUUAAUGGGGCGUUUCCUGGUCCUGUUGUUAAGGUCACAACUGUGAAUAUUAAUGCUCACAAUCAGUUGGACGAAAAUCUUUUGAUGACUUGGUAGGAUUUGAGUGUUGAGAUAAAAAAAAUUUCUUCUUCCCUUGGGAUAUUAUUACUACUAUUAUUUGUUCCAAGUCAGGUUCUGAAACUAGAGAUUUUACAGGCCAGGAAUUCCAAAUUCAUGGCAGGAUGGUGUUCUUGGCACCAACUCAUCCAAAAAAAGAAUUUUACUUACCCAUUUCUCAAGUCAAGGAUCAAAAUUGGGAGCUUUUUCUACUUCCCCUCCCUCCUCAAUUUUCAAUUUAAUAAUCGGAAUAUUAUAGUAAUUCCUUUUCACCCUGACCAUCAUGUCAAUAUACGAGAUUCUUUUUUGCAAUUUAAGUCUAAUAAUUGACACACUCUUAUUUUAGGCAUUGAAAACAACUCUUGAGUCUGGUGAAGAAAUUGAGAUGCCGGAUGGAGUUCUCAUUAAUAGGAAACGACCCAUAAUUAUACCAUAUAUAGUUGCCUAAAGUUAGCUUGACUUAAAAUAUAAACCUCAAGUUUUGUCAAAAUUUACUCAUAUUUGUAAUGUCUAUUUCAAACUUGUUUAAGUUUAUCUAUUUAUUUUUAUUUUUAUUUAUUAGUUAUUAUUUAUAUAUUUUUAUUAGAAUUAUACAUUUUUUUCUUUCACUGCAUUUUUAAAUAUAAACAGCUUUAACAUAUGUUUAACAUUAAAAUUUAAUAUAAUAGAUUUUAUGUUUUUAUAUGAUAUAAAUCACAUCAUAUAUAACAAAAAGAAGAAAAUAAUAUAUUAUAAAAUUUAAAAUAGGCUGGAUCAAACCGAGUUUAAAUGUUUUUAUUUUCAAAUUCAUUUUUUAACUUAACCUUUUUAGUCAACAUUUUCAAAGAGCAAGUAGCUUUAUCUUUGAAUAAAUUUAGUAAUUAAUUGCCUAUUUUUAUUAAAAUAUAUAUUCACAUGGAUUUUUUUUUGAAGAAAACAUUGUUCAAACAUAGAAAUUUAUGUAAUCAUUCUCUAAUUGGUAAGGAUUAAGGAUGACGUGGAAUCACAAUUUCUUACAAUCCCUUCUCAUCAUGUUGGAAUGAUUUUUAAAAAAAAUCCAACCAGAGUCUAUUUGAAUUAAUUACUGAUAUUAUAAAAAUAAAGAAAACAAAAUUAUGUGAAAUAAGUAAAUAGAAUAAUUUGAGCAUAAUGGAUUACCAAAGUGCUGGCCAAUCACUGCAAUAUGAAGAAUGGAGAGUCCAUCAUGAUCUCUAGUGUAAUGCUUGUGAAGAUUUCCUCCCAUUCCUUCAAUCUGUGUAGCCAAGUACUUCACCAUCGACAAGUUGCCAUAUUCGACAGCUCUGAACAAUGGGGUUUCCCCCAACUUGUUCCGAUCCGCGAGUAUCUCUUCCCUCUCCCGUAUAUAGUCUUCAUGAUGCAAGCCGUCAGAGAACAAUACCUCCUUCAUUAACAAAUCGGCUGCUUCGGCUUUGGCAGUGGUGACCAGUUCAUGGAGUACGGUGUUCCCAUAAACUGUCUUCGCCUUCAAUACCUCGCACUUCUUUGUUUGCGGCACCAACUUAACCAGGGUUUGAAGCAUUGCUCCACUUCCUCAGUAAGCUGCAACGUGAAACAUAUGUAUCUCCACAAGCCGUGAUUGGGUUGAACAAGGCCUCAUGGUUUUCCUUGUAAGUCGCUGCCAACCACUGAUCGUGGUUUGCCAAAAGAGUUGUCGUAAGCCACUUUCAAUUCAUGGAAUUUGCUGUUCAUCUCGGAUUUGGAGAUCAUUAUUUCUUUCUCCAUUCCCAUUGAUGAAGCUUUGAUAUAUAACUUAUAUAACUACAAUCUCUCUGGCCUCAACUUUCGUACCCAACGGCAUCGAGAAACCACACAACCAUUUAGCAUUUCAGUCUUGAAGUACACCUCUAAAUUGACGCAUGAAGUUCAUCAUUACGUGACACUAGCCCAUCUGUAUUAUGAUUUAUCCAAUCUUUUUGGACAAGACUAAUUCAAUAAAAAACGCAUGGAUUUAGGAUGAUCCAAUUUUAAAUUUGUCUCUACAUAAUUCCUCGCCCACAUAUAACCUGUAUCCACAAAGGCUUGAUCAUAAUUUUGAGAGCUAAAAUAACAUUUUAAACAUUUAUUUAUCAUUUAAUGUAUGUUUUGUGAUAUUUAUGUUGAUUAUAAAAUUACUUAUCUUUUAAAUUUUAUUUCAAAUAUAUAGUGUUAUAUUUUUGAAUUUGUGAUAAUUAUAUUUUAAUAGUUAAAAUAUAAUUUAUAUAUUUAAAUUAAAAAUUUACAAAGAAUUAAAAUUAACUACUUAAAAUUUAUAUUUCAGCUAUCAAAAAAUUAGUAAUAAAUUAAAAUAAAUAAUUUUCUCAUAUUUUUAUUGAAACAUUGAAUUUAAAUGUCAUUUAAAUAUAUAUAUAUUUGCUUUUCAACAUUAUAUCUAAGAUCAAAAUUUUAACUUCUUAAAAACAAUUUUUAACAAUAGUACUUCAAUUUUAAACCAAUUUUUUUUUAAAAAAAAUUCGGGAGCAACGUAAUUCUAUUUAUAAAAGUUUUACAUAGUGUAGUAAUAAUUAAUCCAUUAAUAACUAAUAGGCAUAAUGAAAAAUUUAUCCCUUAAUGUUUAUAUUCUUUUUAUCAAUUUGACCCUUUUUCUUUUAGUUAAGUUUAACCCUUAACUUUCUAUAAAGAAUCAAAUUUAACCAUCAACCUUUCAAAAAAAAGUAAAAUUGUUUUUGUUUAAAUAUAAUAGUUAUUAAAACAUUUAAUUUUUAAACAUGGCAAACCGCAUGACAAUUUAUGUGUAUUUUAUGUUAUUUUUUAAAUUUUUAUGAAUUUUUUAUAUAUUUUUUAAUUUUUAAAUAUUUAUUAACAUUACAUAUAAAACAAAUAGUUCCAUAUCAACAUCAAAUAAGAUUACCACACGGGUUGCAAAACGAUUUGAUUUGUUUUGAAAGAUUAAUAAUUAGAUUUAACUAAAAAAAAGAGAGAAUAAAUAUCAAAUUGAUAAAAAAUGUAAACAUUUAAAACUAAAUUUGUCAUUAAGCCCCGAAAUAGUUAUAGCAAUUAUUUCAGCAACUAAUAUGUGUGGAUUUAAGUACGUUUAAACGCGUUUUUUUUUUUAAAUUUAAGGGUUAAAAAGAUUAUAAAUAAAAGUAAACAUCAUAUGAAAAAAAAUAUUACAUUACAAUAGAGAUAUAUACUUUUAUUUUGCUUAUAACAAAAAAGAAAAUCCAUGUAUUAUAAGGUUGUAAGUAAAUUUAUCUCUUUUAAAAUAAACUGACCAAUUAAAUCUUUAUAUCAUUGUGAAGUAAGCAAAUAAAGAUAAUUAAAUAUGAUUAAUAUAUAUAUAUUAAAAAAUCUCCAAAGUUUUUCAAAAGAAAAUGAAAAAAAACAAAUCAUUUCAACCUUUAGUUUUGAUUCAAUUAAUUUUAUAACUUAAAAAUAUAAAUUAAUAAUAAUUAAUAUAAAAGUAUAAAAUUUUAAAAAUAAAAAAAUAUUUAUAAUAUAUGAAAGCACGAGAAAUUUUUGAAUUAGUUUACCAUAUUAUUAAAUAACUAAUUUUAAAAAAAUUAGACAUAAUAAUUUAUUAAUAUUUUACUAAUUACGAUGUGAUAAUAAUAAAAAUAUCAUUAUUUAACAAAUAAUUAAUAAAUAGUAUAUUAAUAUAGUAGAAUAAUUAUUUGGUGCGGUGAUGAAAAAUUUUAACUAUUGUUCGACUCUCCGUGGACCUUCUCACUCCCUCGCCGCUCGAAUCCUAGUAAGUUCUUUCUCAGAUCUUCUGCUAAUGGCGCGCCUUGUUUUUUUUUUUUUGUCUUUCUAUGCUAAAUUGAGCCGUGGGGUGUGAGCGGUGUUAGCCUGCUCCGCCAUCGUGAUCGCCGGAGGUUCAGCUCAGCUAGUCGUAGGGAAUUACUAGAAUGCCC